rnacentral:rRNA from 1 species
GGGGAAUAUUGCACAAUGGGCGCAAGCCUGAUGCAGCAACGCCGCGUGAGGGACGAAUGCCUUCGGGUUGUAAACCUCUUUUAGUAGGGAAGAAGCGAAAGUGACGGUACCUGCAGAAAAAGCACCGGCUAACUACGUGCCAGCAGCCGCGGUAAUACGUAGGGUGCAAGCGUUGUCCGGAAUUAUUGGGCGUAAAGAGCUCGUAGGCGGUUUGUCACGUCUGCUGUGAAAACUGGAGGCUCAACCUCCAGCCUGCAGUGGGUACGGGCAGACUAGAGUGCGGUAGGGGAGAUUGGAAUUCCUGGUGUAGCGGUGGAAUGCGCAGAUAUCAGGAGGAACACCGAUGGCGAAGGCAGAUCUCUGGGCCGUAACUGACGCUGAGGAGCGAAAGCAUGGGGAGCGAAC